UGAGUAACCUGCCCUUGACUCUGGGAUAAGCCUGGGAAACCGGGUCUAAUACCGGAUACGACCUUUCACCGCAUGGUGGGGGGUGGAAAGCUUUAUUGCGGUUUUGGAUGGACUCGCGGCCUAUCAGCUUGUUGGUGAGGUAAUGGCUCACCAAGGCGACGACGGGUAGCCGGCCUGAGAGGGUGACCGGCCACACUGGGACUGAGACACGGCCCAGACUCCUACGGGAGGCAG
rnacentral:rRNA from 1 species